UGCUUGGCUAUAUAUAGAUCAAAAUAUAUUAAGAAAGAUACAAUAGCUGUUGUUGAUAAUCUGAAAAAAGAUCAAUAUUCUCAACAAUCAAUUUCAUGGUUAAAUAGUUUUCAUAAUCCAAAUAUAAAACACGCAUUGAACAAUAGUGAAGUGAAAAUAUGUGGAUCAAAAGUUGACGGGUUUGAUGAAAAAUCCAAUACUGUUUACCAAUAUCACGGUUGUUUUUGGCACAGUUGUACAAAAUGUUAUAGUUCAGAUUUUAUUAAUAAUAAGAAUAAAACAACUAUGGAAGAUCUUUAUGAGAAAACAAUAGAAAGAAGUGAGCAAAUAAAAAAAGCUGGUUAUAAUUUAAUAGAAAUGUGGGAAUGUGAGUGGACAAAGUCAAAAGAAUAUAAGAAAGAAAUGAAACAAAUUGAAGAAGAAAUUAAGGAAUUGGAAGAACUUAAUCCUAGAACCGCAUUCUUUGGUGGAAGAACGAACGCAACAAAAUUGAGCGUUAAGGCAAAGAAAUUGAAAUAUAUAGAUAUUUGCAGUUUAUAUCCAACAGUACAAUGUUACGAUGAUUAUCCAGUUGGACAUCCUACUAAAAUAUUCAAACCUCGUACGUAUAAUUCAGAUUGGUAUGGUUUAAUAAAAUGUGCAAUUUUACCACCAAAAGGUUUGUAUCACCCCGUUUUACCCGUUAAGAAUAAAACCAAAUCUGGUGAUGAAAAACUAACAUUUCCAUUAUGUCAAUUGUGCGCAAAAUUAAAUAAUCAAAAAGAUAAAUGUUCUCAUACGGAAUCUCAAGGAAUUAUCAGAGGAACCUGGUGUACCAACGAAGUAAAAAAAGCAAUUGAAAAGGGGUACAAAAUAAUAACUAUUGAUGAGGUUUGGCAUUUUUACAAAAAAUCAUCAUAUUUAUUUAAAGGAUAUGUGAAAGCGUUUAUGAAAAUUAAAUUAGAAACAAGUCCUUGGCAGGAUGAUUUUGAAUCAGAAGAGGAAUAUAGAAAAACCGUAAAAGAAAUUCUAGGUGUUGAAUUGGGUAAAAUAGAAAAUAAUCCUGGAAAGAGGGCUGUUGCGAAAAUCUGCUUAAAUUCUUUAUGGGAGGGUAGAAAUUUUUUUAAAUUUUAUUCGUGCCACUAUUAGUUUGUUGUGUCGACUAAGCUGUGAGGACGCCUGCAGUUUAAAAGAGUUUUACGAAACAGUUACCAAAAAAUUACUUUUGUUUAAUGAUGUUGAAAUUAUCGUGGACUUUACUUUAUUUCUUAAAAUGACCA